rnacentral:lncRNA from 1 species
CAAUGCCACCCACCAGCCCAAGCACAGGGGGCCAGAGUCAUGGAAUGUAAAAGCAGGGAGGUGACAGGAGUUGCACUAUCUGGAUCCGUGUGGACAGAACCUGCUGCUACAGUUACAUCCCCUCCAGGAUCUUGUUUUCAAAACACUCAAAGAAUCACAACUUUCCCAAGUCCAGGAGUGCAGUUUACGUGGUACUGAGAUUCAUGGCACAGUUUCCCUAAUCCACAAUUGCCAUGAAGUGUCAGACAGGCUGGGUAGUGUUGGAGGGCAUCUGCAGAUUCCUGGGAGUUGGCACAGCUGCAGGUAAGUGCUGUUUUAGCCAUGCACCUGAUAGCAAAGGACUUACCAUUUAUAUGCCAAGCCAUGUCUCAAGAGAGACAUCAUUUAACAUGUUACCAAACCAAGGCCAGAAGAUCGACAGUUAGUCACUACAGUAAAAGUUCAAAGUGAAUACAGUGUGAAUAUAAAAUUCAAGGUAAAACUAGCCGAACUCAAAAAAUGAUCUGAGUCAACUCUCAGUUCAGCUAUUUUGGCCUUAAAUUUGAAAUUUACUUUGAAUUCUCACGUUAGUGAAUGAUCCUGUAUGUAUCCUUCUUCCUUAGCAGAUAAAGGGGCCUGGGUUAUAAUACGUCUGUUCUCUGUAGAAGAGAGAAGUCUGCUUUGUGUUGCUGAUUAUACUGGUGUCCUGUGACUCGCUUUAGGAUUGCAGUACUGGAUGUUACUGAUUCUUUGCUGUAAACCCUGCACUAUGACUCUGCUGCAGUUUAAUAGAAGAACUCCCUCCAAUACUGAAUGGGUAGGCUGGGAUUGUCAAUGUAAUGUAUUCUUAUCUCCCAAGCACUUCUGUGCACACAACCAAUUGUUGCAUUUUGUCUGAAGUUGUAAAAGUGAUCCACUUUACAACCCCUGCUAGUAACUAAAUUACUCAUUCAAGGUCAGAUGACACUGUGUCCAUUGUGACUGAGAGUGUAGCAAUGUUAUCACUUAGUGUUUAUUCACUAAACAGCCAUAUGCCGUGAAUUAAAAAGCAAAGUGCAAAUUUUAGGGUAAAAAAUAAUUUACCUGGAAACCCUCCUUGGAGCAAUAAUCCAAGUCUGCUAUAGUCACGGCUUGACUGAUUUUCUCUCAAUUUUGCGAUGCAGUUUUCAAUUCACUGCAAUUUGGAGUUUAGUGAAUAAACCACCAUCCUGGUUUAUAGUGCGAAUUGUCAGACAUUCUAAUCGAAUGUCAUAUUUUAGGACACCACACGGGCAAACUGGAAACAAGGCAGACUUUGGGACAUUUUUCCAGUUUUGCUAUUUUGCUCUACAAUUUGAAAUGAACUUUAACUUAAUGAGAAUUUGUACUCUAGUGUUUAAAUGAAACCAGCAUGUUUUCCUUCACCGAGUCCCUUUGCUGGAGAGGAUUCCAGGCAGAGAGUGCUGUUGCUGCAGUUCUAGUGCUGUUAAUAGGGACACAGGCAGGACUUGACUUAUUAAUAGCAUUGUGUGCUGCAGGUGGAAAAAAGACAGACAUGUUAAAAGGGAAAAGAAAGAUCAGCCUUAUACAGAGAUUGAAACUUUUAUUUCAUGCAUGAAAUGGGAUUAAAGGGAUUAUUUUGCGACUAUAGGUUCUCUUGUGUCCACCCCUUUUGUGUUAAAAAAAAAAAAAGUUUAAUAAAGACUAAUCCCCACGUUUCCAGUGCUGGUACUCUGCUGCAACUGCCCUCUCUGGUGAUGUCAGCAUCCAAGAUGACAUCACCCGUAAUCUUCUGUAAUUCAUUGCAUCUCAUAGUGAAACAAUGGAUUGGAACCAGGCAGGCACAAUAAAAUGCUGCACUCCUUCAAUCAAAUGCUGUUGUUUUACUCAGUCUAAAGAAGGAAGCGCCUCUAGUGGCUUUUAGGAAGACAGACAAUAGAUGAGGACUUAAUUUCUAAAAAAAAAACCUUCAAUGUUGUACAUUGCAGGGUUAAAAAGACAGGACUCCUACACCCAGAGAUGAUGUGGUCUGGGUGACUAUAAUGAUCCUAUAACCAUUACUCUGCCAGUAAUCCGUUGUCAUCCAUUGCUCCUUUCUGUGCAAGUACUUUGUAUUUGGUGAAACAGGGUGUUGGUGAUACAUGUUCUAAGACAUUGUUUAUACAAUAAACACCAAGUUGUAUAUAGAUUUAAUGAUCUGAAGCAUUAAGUCAAGAAUAGUUGGUUUGAAAAAAUUCUCCAACUCGACUGUUGUUAUUCAUCGGGUUUUCCCUGCUAAUUACCAUGUCUUGUUUACCAAAAAUCUCCUUCAAAGUAUACUCCUCUGCCCGAAUAAAAUAAAUAAAUCACUUGUAAGUAGAUAUACUGCCAAUGAAAACGUGCAUGGAUUUAUUGCUGCCUUUUUCCAGGGCUGGACUGGGAAUGAAAAGCAGCCCUGGAAAAAAAUGUCUAUACCAGCCCCAUAAUGCAUCACGCCAGCAUAGUGUGCUGAUAUGGAAGUGGGAAAAAAAACCUUAAAACUGAAAACUAUCACUCAACCGUGAAAGAAAGCACUCAUAGGGCUUCAAAAUAAACAAACGAACGGAUUUGUUGUAAGUAGACGUGCAUUUGCAUAUAAUCAAUCUUUCAGUCCAAUUACCUUGACAUAGUAAGGAAAGUUUCGUAAUUGGACUGAAAUUGUGAAUGUAUGUUAUUGCACAGCAGUAAGAAAAUUACGUUAUUCUGAUCAAUGCAUCUCUAUUGGGAGCGUUCAGCACCUCCAAGCAGAGCGUGGAAAUACUCAACAUAGGUGCUGCACACCGUGCAGCACUGGACUAGGAAGCAGCACUAGUGGCCUGAGUGACUGAGUGCCUGUCACUAGAGAUGUUCCCAGGCAGCAAUGUAAACACUGCCUUUUUUUCUGAAAAGGUAACAUUUACAGUGCUCAGCCUACAGGGAUAGGCUAUACACUCCAGGACCACUACAUUAAACUGUAGUAGUUCUAGUGACUGUAGUGUCCCUUUAAUACCAGUCAACUCUAAAUUACCGGGAGAGCAGGAGACACAAGUGAAGAUGCACUUUGUUUGUGUCUUUCUCCCUAAAGCCCCUUUCAUGCGUCUCUUAGCCCCAGCUCCUUUGUCUCUUUCUCCCCUUUCCCCAGCCCUUCUGUUAGUCUCUUUCCCAGGCCACAGCACCUCUGUAUGUCUCUUUCCCCACAGCUCCUCUGUGUAUUUCAUUCUCCCCUUUCCCAGCCCUUCUAUGAGUCUCUUUCCCAGGCCCUAGCAACUGUGUGUGUCUCUUUCCCCACAGCUCCUCUGUGUGUUUCAUUCUCCCCUUCCCCAGUCCCUCUGUGUGUCUUUUGUUCGCCUUUUUCAGCCCCUCUGUCUCUUUCACCCAGACCCCUCUGUGUCCACCCCCUUCAACCUACAUGUGUAUCAUUACCCCACCACCCCUCCAUGCUUCUAAAUCCAUCCCCCCAGACCUCCAUGUGUCUCAUUAGCACUCAGCCCUCCAUGUGUCCUAUUAGCCCUCUCUCCCAGCCCUCCAUGUGUCCCACUAGCCCCCCCCAGCACUUCAUGUGUCCCUAUACCCCCUCCCAGCCCUCCAUGUGUCCCUUGCACCCUCCCAGCCUUUCAUGUGUCCCUAUACCCCCUCCCCAGCACCUAUGUGCCCCUAUAGCCCCCUCCUCAGCCCCAUGUGUCUCUAUAGCACCCCUAGCCCCCAUGUGUCCCAUUAUAGCCCCCUUCCCAGCCCCAUGUGUCCCUAAAGCCCCCAAUCUCCAUGUGUCCCAUUAUAGCCCACUUCCCAGCCCCAUGUGUCCCUAAAGCCCCCAAUCUCCAUGUGUUCCUAUAGCCCCCAGCCCUCCAUGUGUCCCUAUACCCCUCCCAGCCCUUCAAGUGUUCCUAUACCCCUCCCCAGCCCUCAUGUGUCCCUAUAGCCCCCAGCCCCCAUGUGUCCAAUUAAAGCCCCCUCCCCAGCCCUCAUGUGUCCCUAUAGCCCCCAGCCCCAAUGUGUCCAAUUAAAGCCUCCUCCCCAGCCCUAUGUGUCCCGAUAGCCCCCCAGUCCCCAUGUGUCAAAUUAAAGCCCCCUCCCCAGCCCUAUGUGUCCCUAUAGCCCCCCAGUCCCCAUGUGUCAAUUUUAGCCCCAUCCUGUGUCCCUAUAGCCCCCCCAGCCCCCAUGUGUCCCAUUAUAGCCAUCCCCCCAGGUGUCCCAUUAUAGUGACCCCCCCACGUACCUUCAUUUCUGUUCCCCUACCUGGUCUGACAGAAAGCAGUCAUGUGUUCUCUGUGAGCUCUUCCUAUCAGACCGGGUAGGGGAACAGAAGCUCCUCUACCGUGGCCUGCCUGCUUGGCCAUGCUACAUUCUGUGACUGGCAGGAAGGGAGCGCAUCCCCUCCUGUCGGCUACCUGUGCAAUCCGCGGGCCAGUGCGCACUAGGUGGCCCGCACCAGCCCGAUAGUAUGCCGGUCCACCAGGAAAUUUCACAGUGUGCCAGGUGGGCAAAAGCUCUUGUCUGCAGCCUUUGCAAACCCUCCUCUUACCCAGCCCAGACUUUCUGUGGCUGUCCAAUCACAGACUUCCCGAUGCAGCUCAGUGAGAUGUAAUUGCAAGGCAGGUGCUCGGAGUAAUUGCUGCCUCUUGAGUUGAGCUUCACUGAGCUAAACAAACCAGGACACUUAGCGUGAAACUUAUAUACCUCAUGCGAGCUCAGUACUGUUAGUUUCCCCAAGUUAAGAUCCUGCCCUGGAUGAAGACACACUGGGGCUUAUAUUCUCAACUUCAAACUGUAUGUGAUUGAAAUAUGAAUGGCUCCUUUCUAGGCUAGAUUAGCUAAACUGUGACUAGAACUGGUGGAUAUUUUUUUGCAAAUAAAAUAUUUUUGCCAAAAUAUUGCAAUCCGGAUAUUAAUUUGCUGAUUUCUAAGCUUGGUGAAUAACCCUGACUGGCUCAAUUGGAGUUAUACACUAAAGUGAGAAUUGUCAAGAAUUUAAAGUGAAUUGCAAUUCUAAGGCUAAAGUAGCCAAAAUAGAACCAUACCUGACUAUUUUGGACUUAAAUUCGAAAUUUACUUUGUAUUCCCAACAAUUCUCAUUUAAGUAAUAACCCUGAUAUUCAGAUUCAUUCAUCACAUAUGAAAAGGAUUUGUGUGUAAGUUUCAAAGUUUGUGUUGAGGGAAAGGGGGGUCGUGCAAGCUGUUUUUUUUUCAUACACCCCCAAAGAAAACAUACUGACAAAAUACAGGGGGAGGAAGCGGGAGCUAUAGUGCAGGGAAUACAGUUAUGUAUUCCUGGCACUAUAGUAUCCCUUCAGUCACUACCAGCCCUUUCCUUUGGGCCUCCAAUACAGAAAACCACAUACAGAGUGCUGACGAUAUUAUCUAUUCAUUGUCCUAGUGCCUGUGACACAGUGCAAGCAUUUCUAAUAAUGCUCUCGCACUAUGCCACCUAGGAAGAGUUCCCUGGUACCCAUGGAUGCGGGGCAAUACGACUUGUGGGAAGACCUAUUAGGAGAGAGUUACAGUAAUCCAUGCGAGAGAUUACUAGAGCAUGGACAAGCUCCUUGGCAGCAUCUUGCAUAAGAAAGGGGCGAAUGCGGGCUAUGUUUUUAAGGUGGAAUCUACAGGAUUUGGUAACAGACUGGAUGUGAGGCUCAAAUGUGAGGCCAGAAUCAAGUAUAACGCCAAGACAGCGCACUUGCAAGGAUGGACUGAUAUGGGUACCACUCACUUGAAGGGAGAGCGAAAGAGGGGGAUUAGUUUUAGGAGGAAGACACACUGCCAGCCAGUCAGUCAUCCAGACACAGACACACACACACACACACUUCCCCCCACAACAUUCACAGACUAUUUUUUAAUUUUAAUUUAAAUCCACCCAGCCUCCCUACCUUUGGGAGAGCUGGGUGGAUUUUUUACGUGGGGUCCAUUGGGGCUGCUGGCUGGGUUGCUUGGGCAGGGAGGGAGGCAGGCAUGCAGGCAGUUGGGCGGCUAGCUGAAUUCAAAGGCGAGCAAUGACGUCAUAUUCCAGCUCCCAGCAUCACUCUGCGGCAUGGGAGGGAACUGAGCACAAAGAGCUCACAAAUCAGCGCUCCUCACCACCCACCUUGGAACUCAGCUAGCCGCCUUCCACCAGGCUAACAAGGUAUUUGCCUGGGCAUUUUGGGAAGGCAUUUUUUGCCGCCCCCUGGAAAGUGCCGCCCAAGGCAAAUGCCUUGUUUGCCUUGCGGGUGAUGAGGGUUUGAGAGACAUAAUUAGUGUGUUUGGAAAGUCAGGUAAUUUGUGCUAUCUAUAAAUGUAGUGAGUUCCUUGGGGUGGGCAGGAAACCAUCCAAAAGAGCUACCUCUGCACAAGACUGUAUCUUGUCUUGGUAGCUGAGAGUCCUGGGAGCUAGUUAAUGUUCUGUUUGGAACUCAGGCUGCAAGAAAGGAUCUGGGUUAGAUCAAACAGCAAAUUAAGGGUGGGGAAGACACAGAUAUUGAGGUGAGAAAUUACAGUUAAUGAUGAUAAGAAAAUAUAGAACAGAGGAGAAGUAUUUGAGAUUUAAAGAUAUAAGGGUAGAUCAUAAAUGGUGGACAUAAAUGAACAAGACUAUUUGCACAAUACUAACAAAAAAACAAUUAUCAAAACAAGGGUUGAGUAUGGAAGCAUAGGCGUAGGAACCAGGGAGGAUGGGGGGACACAGAUAAUGGCGAACCCUCCCUCCACCCAGGGCCGGACUGGCCCACCGGGAUACCGGGAAAUUUCCCGGUGGGCCGUCGGCACCUGGGGCCGGGCAGAUAGCUGGGUAUAAUGGCCGCAGGAAGGGAGAGUGGUAAUGGCGGCCGCAGGGGUAGCUGUAAUGACGGCCACAGGGGAGAGCUGUCUGUGCUCCCCUGCCCUCGCGCACUACUUAAUGAGACUGGGGCCGGAAUAUGACGUCAUAUUCCGGCCCCGGUCUCAUUAAGCUGUGUGCUGGGGAGCAGAGACAGCUCAGACAGCUCUACCCUGCGGCCGCCAUUACCACUCUCCCUUCCUGCGGCCAUUAUACCCAGCAAAACAUGGGUUUUGACAAACUUAGGCAGCAUGUGCCCCAAGCCCAUGGUCCCAACAAGAAGAUGAGCAAGGUGGAGACCCUGAAAUCAGCUGUUCCUAACACUACACUGCUGGGGAUAGCUAAGAGGUUAGUGCACCUGACUUCAUUUUCCUUCAUUGUAUAUUGGGACUCUUCAGAGAUUAAACCGGUCAGUGUCUUCUAGUGACUCCUUAAACAUAAUUGCCAAGGACAGUUUGUGGCAAGUACACACACACACAUAGACACACAAGCACCCUGACAUACACAGAAACACUCAAAGAGAUAUACACAUGCUAAUACACACACAAACUCCCUGACAGACACGCACACACACACACACACACACACACACACACACAAACAGCAAGACUCAAAGAGAUACACACAUGCUAAUACACACAAAAGCACCCUGACAUACACACACACACACAUACUAAUAGACACACACACUGAAAGAAUCUCACACAGACAUACACAUAUUCCUCUCCAUUUUCCCGUGGGUCCGACUCCUGAAGAAGCUACAUUGGCUGUAGUUCCCCCCUGAUUUGUGGGACAGAAUGUUUUGUUUUCCUGGGACUGUCCCAGCAAAUUCAGGACUGUUGUCAACUAUCCUUAUGGCUGGGAUAAUGCACAAUAGAGUGCGUUUGAUUGUCUAGAGCUGUACUACAGUACUAUUAACAUCUUAUCAAUGAUAUUACAAUAUUAUUUUUUUAUUAUUCAAUGUACUUAUUUAUUGUCAGGUUUAUAUUCAUUUGCUAUCAAAUAAUAGCAGAUGUGAAUGUCGAUUUUCUGCAGCACAUUUUACUAAUCCAGUCUGGUUUUAGUUUUCUUACUUUCAAAAUAUGUAAAUGGACUUUGGUAAUGUAGUCAUGCUGGGUACUUCUUAAUAUUCAUCAAUGACAUAUAAACAUCUAAAUGGAACGAACUCUGCAACAUAUACUACUUUAUUUUAAUAGUUGGACUUUGUGUAUACAUAGGCAUACGUUUUCUUUUAACUAGAUAAGCUACCGCAAAAUGACACGAAAUGAGCACUACAGAACUAAUGGGAGGGGAAGUGAGGGCUGUUUGGACAUCCGUUAGGGCAAUGGGUAUUCAAUUUUCAGCACUCUAAAUGUUAAGGACUACAUCUCCCAUAAUGCUUUUACAGCCAUAAUGCUGACAAAGCACCAGGUGACACAGGAAGCACCUCUAGUGAUCGUCUGAGUGACUGUCACUAGAGGUGUCACUAGUAAGCAAUGUAAACACUGCCUUUUCUCUGAAAAGUCAGUGUUUACAUUGAAAAGCCUGCAGGGACAGGCUAUAGAUACCAGAACCACUACAUUAAGCGUGUGUGUGUGCCUGCUAGUGAGUGAGCUUAUGUAUAUCAGUGAGGUUGUCUAUGAGGCUGUGUAUCAAUGAGCUUGUGUGUGUCAGUGAGAUUGUCUGUGUCUGCAUGUGAGUAUGCUUACUGUAUAAUUAAACGUUUUACUCUGAAAGGACCAUUAUUUUAUAUUAGAAAUAGCAAUAUAUAUAUGUGUGUGUGUGUGUAUAUAUAUAUAUAUUACUCAAUCAUCAUGGGGUGGCAAGACAUUGCCUUACAUAUUACAUGCGACAAUAUAUGGCGCAAUGACCUAUGGGGCUGGCAUAGAUUUUUUUUCCAGGGCUGCUUUGUAUCCCCAGUCUGGCCCUGCCUCCACCCCUCCCGUGAAAUUUGGCAUAUAUCGUUUUGCAGAUGCAGCAGACAGUGGAGCAAUAGCCAUUGAACUUACAUUGCAUGUUUUCUGCUCUGCUCCACUGCAGCCGCGCUCUGCACACUUUCACUGCUUGCCGUGACUGGUUGUAGUUCUCAGCUGCACACGUUAUCAUGGUAACGAAUUUAGCAAAAACUACACCUCCCGACAUUCACCAGUUUCAGACUGAUAGUCUGUACAUAUUCUCUAUGUGCUCUGCACUUUGGAACUCCAUCAGAGGAGGUUCUGUUGUAACUAUCCAGCUUGCCUCCACUUUGUGCCUCGGUAGUUGUAGUGAAAGAGCCUGCGUUACCACAUUAACAUGGUAACGAUGUGCAAGCAGCAAAAACUACAACUACCGAGUCCCAACAUCCACAACAAGUCUUUUAUUCUCGCGAGUAGCGAGAUCCUGGAGUUUUCCAUCAUUUUCCCUGAGACUGUGAGGUGUGACAGGGAGCCUGAGUCGAACCAAUAUUAAAAACACAGAGUCGAGUUCCAAUUUGAAUAACUUGCUGCAGCUCCUAACUCCUAACUCUUGUCCUGAAAAACCAAAGUGAGUAAAGCUAAUAAUAAUACAUUUACAUAUUUAAUUACAUCCAAAAAAUAACCUUGGUAAAUGUCUGAUCUGUAGUUUGUGACAUUUUCCACUUUUCCACUUGUUCCCUAUUUUUCCAACAGAGUUAUUCACUAAAAUGAAAGUGAAACUAUUGCUGAUUUGGAGAAUUCUUUUUUAAGACAAAUUUAUACAUAAGAGCAGUUAUAUCUUGGAAAAAGUAUGUGAAACCCUAGGCUAAUGACUUCAGCAAAAGCUAAUUAGAGUUGGAAAUUGGCAAACCUGGUGUCCAAUUAAUGAAACAAUAUUGGAAGUGUGGGUUAGAACUACUUUGACUUAUAAAGAGCACUAAAAUAUUUUGAGUUUGCUAUUCACAAAAAGCAUCUGUUGAUGUUUACAAUGCCUUGCAAAAAAAAAAAGAGAGAUCCCAGGAGUCAUGUGAUCAAGAACGGUUACACUACAUAAAGCUGAAAGGGAUACAAAUGUAUCUCAAAGAGCUUAGAUAUUUAUCUGUCCACUGUUAGACAAAUUGUAUUUAUACAAGAUCUUUUGUUUUGUGAAAAUCGGGCAAUGCUGCAUUACUUAAAGUAUUAUUACCAGUGGUUUUAAGUGGGAUAACUGAAAUAAAUGCCAAACUUUUGGUUCAUUUCUGUGACCNNNNNNNNNNNNNNNNNNNNNNNNNNNNNNNNNNNNNNNNNNNNNNNNNNNNNNNNNNNNNNNNNNNNNNNNNNNNNNNNNNNNNNNNNNNNNNNNNNNNUGAUAAACUGUUCCUUUUGCAUAUUUUUUUGUUGUGAGAAAUUUCACACACACACACUUAGAAUUUAACAUUAUAAACAACUCCCAGGUUACUGAAUAAGAAUAUACCCGGCGAGUAAAAAUGCUAUCCCCCCCAGAUUUGUGGGGGUUCCUAUGCCCAUGUUAACAAUUAAGCAGUAAUAUUGUAGAGGAGAGAAGUAAAAAGAGAAACUGAGAAAUAGAAGAAUAAAAUAAAAUAAGUGGUGCAGGUAAUCUUAUACCUAUAUUGUGUUUGGUCAGUACUAAGGACAUCAUGGUAGAGACAUUGUAAAAAUGCAUAUGUCUUGAAAAUGAACCUUUUUUCGAAUUGGAAGCCAUACACAGAUUUGUGAAAUCCCCAUAUAUGAUAAUGCUAGCACUACCUUUUCGUGUGUUAUGUGACACAUUACACAUUUGCCAUACUUUGUAACAUUUGUAUUUUUCUGAAGGUAUAGUCAGGUUUUUUUUAUUAUUAUUAUUCUCAGCAACACAUGACUGUGUGUAUGGCAAGGAAGCACAGUGCACACCGGUUAUAUAUAAUGUCCGGCCUAGGCCCUGGAGAUAUAGCAUGAUCAGUGCUAAAUUAUUUAUCCCACUAAUAGCCACAUCAUACUGCAACCAGAUGUUCUCAUUAUAAUUUAAAGAUUCACUGGAGAGGGAUCAGCUAUGCUUCACACUGAUAUCUCUGUGUACCAAGAGAGACCAGAAAAUCCUCAUACUAUCACUCACAUUGCGACUGAGCGCUGUGUAACUAAUCCUUAACCAGCUCAAGGGACUAACUGAGCUCUGCAGCAAUAACUAUUCCUCACCACUCUGAAUGAAGGAUAGGAAGAGCAGUCAGUCAGUUAAAUGUAGAGCAAAUGCAUUUCUUUAUACAAGGGAGGAUAAAUGAAAAUUAAUUUGCCUGACUUUGUAAUCUAUUAAGUCUUUAUGAAAAUAGCAAACACCUCAAACUAUGAGUGGACUACAAUUCCCAUGCACAUUUGCAGGCCACAUGUUAAAGGACCGCUAUAGGCACCCACACCACUUCAGCUCAAUGAAGUGGUCUGGGUGCCAGGUCCCUCUAGUUUUAAUCCUGCAGCUGUAAACAUAGCAGUUUCAGAGAAACUGCUAUGUUUACCUUAGGGUUAAUCUAGCCUCUAGUAGCUGUCUCAUUGAUUUUCACAGUGAGAAGAUGCCAGUGUCCAUAGGAAAGCAUUGAGAAAUGCUUUCCUAUGGACUGACUGGAUGCGCGCGCGGCUCUUGAAGCGCAUGUGCAUUCAGCAGAUGACUUUGGAAGAGGGAGGAGAGUCCCCAGCACCGAGGGAGCCCGGCGCUGGAGAAAGGUAAGAAUUUAACCCCUUCCUCCCCCUUCGGCCCGGCGGGAGUGGGACCCUAGGGGUGGGGGGGACCUAAAGACCCUAUAGAGCCAGGAAUACGACAAAUAUUUACAUGGCUUAGUCUAAGGCUCAAAAAUGCUGAGAUACAUUGAGCCAAAUUUGUAAUGGUUUAAGGAAGUUUUACUAUAUACUGACAAAAGAAUGCAUUGCCAUGCUGCUUAUUAUAAUAUAACUUCUUUGUAAAUAACAUGACAAAAUGAAAUAAAGAUAAGCAUUUGUGAUUGUGUAAUUCAAGUUUGGUGUAGCAUGAUAAAGGACACUCUAGAUCACAAAGUGAAUUCAAAGUGAAUUCAAAGAGACUUUUAAAUGUAAGAGCGGCUGAACUGAAAGAUCUGUUAUUUUGAUCUUAAAUUUGAAAUUCACUCUGAAUUCACCGUAAUUCUUACUCUAGUAUAUAAACCUGUGCACUGAUCAGCCACAACAUUAAAAAAAACCCUGCCUCAUAUAAUGUAGGUCCCCCCAUGUUGCCAAAACAGCUCUCGUGCAUCAAGGCAUGGACUUCUCAAGACAUCUAAACCAAGGCUUGACAAAUUUGUUUUAAAUAUAGGAGCCAGCUAAAAAAGUUAGGAGCCAGUUUUUUUCCAACGACAAAAAUACAAUUCUUAAAGGAACACAAUAGUCACCAGAACCACUUAAUGUAAUGGCUUUGGUGUCUAUAGCCUGUUCCUUUAAGAAUUAUAAACUAACUCCUAACUAAAGUUUCUGCUCUCUAGACACUAAAGAGUCUCCUAUCUUUAUUCAGCAUCUCCACACUCAGCAUGGAGAAGCUGAACGUUCCCCAUAGAGAUGCGUUGAUUUAAAGCAUCUCUAUGGGGAGAUGCUGAUUAGUGCAGCAUUUUGCGGUGCAUGCUCCAUAGCUUCCCAAUGCUUUCCUCUGGAAAAGCAUUGGAUUGGCUGAGAUCAGCAAUACUAUCUCAGCUAUGGAGGCGUGCCAGCCGCAGCGAGACGUAGUUGGAAAAAAGUUAAGUAAAAACACCAUUCCCAUGUGACCGAAGGGGAGCUGGUGACCUAAACAUGUACAUGCACUGACAGAUGGAAACAGACAUGAACACACAUAUACACAAACAUAGACACAGUCAGACAGACACAAAUAUACACAAACAUACAGAAUGACACACACAGAAACACUCACAGAUAUAUGUACACACACUCAGACACACAUGUACACACAAUCACUGACAGACACAUUCUUUUCACACACUCUCAAAGUAUUUUUUUAUACACACACAGAUUCAUAGAUAUUUACAGACAUACACAGACACAGAAAAAAAGAUAAAUACAUAUAUUACCUACCUUGUGGGCGCAGGGGGGCUUUCCUUGGGUCCAGUGGGACUGGGAGCAGGUUACAUUGGGCCUGGAUGCGGCUGAUUGGAGUGGGCUGCUGCUGAUCCAGACUCCCACUCUACUGUCUCUGUUAUCUCAUUGCACCGGGAGGAAGUGAAAGGAACUUUACUACUUCCUCCCGGCGCUGAACCAGCGCAGGGGAAUGGGCGGGCCGGCGGACGGCUCUGCAGAAUGCGCGGGGAGUGCACGCAGCUCUGCAGAAUGGGCGGGCCGCUCUGCGACCAGAGACGUCUCAACCUGUUUCCCUGUCAGCUUGUCCUUCUCCUACGCGGUUUCAGUGCCGGGAGGAAGUAGUUACAGUUCCCUUCACUUCCUCCCAGUGCACAGAGAUAGAGAGACAGGAGAAGGAGGGGCAGGCUGACCAAUACCCGGCGCCAGGAAAAAAAUAUUAGUCGCCAUGGCAACGUGUCGCCUGGAAUUUGUCGAGCCCAGGUCUAAACAUGUCCUGUGGAAUCUGGCACCAAGACAUGAGCAGCAGGUCCUUUAAGUACUACAAGUUGGGAGGUGUGGCAUCCAUGGAUAAGAUUUGUUAUUCCAGCACAUCCCACAGAUGCUCAAACAGAUUGAGAUCUGGGGAAUUUGGAGGCCAAGACAACAUCUUGAACUCUUUGUCAUAUUCCUCAUACCAUACCUGAUCAUUUUUGCAAUAUGGCAGGGUAGAAAAGAGGCCACUGCCAUCAGGGAAUAUCAGUGCCAUUAAGGGGUGUAUGUGGUCUGCAAUAAUCUUUAGAUUGCAAUCUUUAGAUAGCAAAGAAACAUCCACAUGAAUGCCAGAACCCAAGGUUUCCUAGCAGAACAUUGCCCAGAGCAUAACACUGCCUCUGCUGACCUGCCUUUGUCCCAUAGUGCAUUUUGAUGCCAUCUUUUCUCUAGGUUAAAGAUGCACAUGCACCCAAUCACCCACCUGAUCCAAAAGAAAACGUGAUUCAUCAGACCAGACAAACUUUUUCCAUUGCUCAUACCCCGAUUGAUCUAGUUUUGAGGCUCACAUCCCCAUUGAAGGCGCUUUUAGAG